UACGAAGGGGGCUAGCGUUGCUCGGAAUGACUGGGCGUAAAGGGUGCGUAGGCGGAUGGCACAGUCAGAUGUGAAAUUCCCGGGCUUAACCUGGGGGCUGCAUUUGAUACGUGUGAUCUAGAGUGAGGAAGAGGGUCGUGGAAUUCCCAGUGUAGAGGUGAAAUUCGUAGAUAUUGGGAAGAACACCGGUGGCGAAGGCGGCGACCUGGUCCUUGACUGACGCUGAGGCGCGAAAGCGUGGGGAGCAAACAGG
rnacentral:rRNA from 1 species